rnacentral:lncRNA from 1 species
AAAUUAACAAAAAUCUCUGUCCCCAGAUGAUCAGUGAUAAGAUACUCUGCUGGGAACUGAUGUGAUGAUGCAAUUCUAAGAGCGAAGUGCUUGUUCCAGCAUUGACUCUUGGUGACCUACACUGGACUGAAUUCAGACAGGGCUGCUGCAGCCAGCAGCAGCUGGCUGCAAAGUUAUAGCAGCAUACAUUUUCCAGAGCAUACAAAAAGUCUGCUGUAAGGAUUAAUCCAAAAGGAAAGAAAACAUGCUUGGAAACAUUGCCUCUGGGUUGGGUUGUGUCCUUCUGCCUAUUGCAGGAAGAGGACACAAGAACUCUGCUGCCUGAAAGAAAGAUCUAAAGAAGAUGAUGUGUUAGACAGAGAUCCUGUCUGUGGACUGAGAUCUCACCAUUUUAUAAGAUCCUUCCUAAAGACCUUACACUUCAUGUGGAGGACGAACUCUGUGCUGUCUCCAUGGAAUGGGAAGGACUUGGAUGCUGCAGGAAGACUUCCCUCUUCACCCCUCAUGAGCAGGUCCUGUGUUAUGUGGAAGCGUGCAGCAAUCUGGUCUGGAUGA